UCGUAGGUGUUAUGAUCAAUGUAUUGAAAUUGGUUUGCCUGCUUUAUGGAUUUGUUUGUUUUUCUUAACUUAGUUCAGCUUGGUGUUUGAUUUUGGGGAUGAAAUUAUAUCUACAUUUAGCAGUGAGCUUGGAAGGAUCUUUCUCUGAGAACAACUAAAAGGAUUUAUGAUCUAAUGGGAUGUCAUAACUAUAUAUCCUUGUGUGUUUUUGUUGUAUAAUUUUGUUUCUGGUUCCUCUUUAUGUUUUUCGUAGGUGUUAUGAUCAAUGUAUUGAAAUUGGUUUGCCUGCUUUAUGGAUUUGUUUGUUUUUCUUAACUUAGUUCAGCUUGGUGUUUGAUUUUGGGGAUGAAAUUAUAUCUACAUUUAGCAGUGAGCUUGGAAGGAUCUUUCUCUGAGAACAACUAAAAGGAUUUAUGAUCUAAUGGGAUGUCAUAACUAUAUAUCCUUGUGUGUUUUUGUUGUAUAAUUUUGUUUCUGGUUCCUCUUUAUGUUUUUCGUACCUAUGGAUUUGGUUAGAGAGUUUAUAAACUGAGCUUAUUAAUUUGGGGAUUCGGUGGUUACAUACCCAAAAAAGUAGUCUGAAAAAUGAGCCGCAUAUUAUGCUUGGUAUCAUUUAUGGCGUUUUUUUCCCCAUGCCUCACAUAUACCUGUGCUGUAUAAAUUCAUUCAUAACAGUUGUAUACAAUGAUAGUUUUGUUUCA
rnacentral:misc_RNA from 1 species